AUUGAACGCUGGCGGCAGGCCUAACACAUGUAAGUCGAGCGGAUGAAGGGAGCUUGCUCCUGAAUUCAGCGGCGGACGGGUGAGUAAUGCCUAGGAAUCUUCCUGGUAGUGGGGGAUAACGUCCGGAAACUGGCGCUAAUACCGCAUACGUCCUGAGGGAGAAAGUGGGGGAUCUUCUGACCUCACGCUAUCAGAUGAGCCUAGGUCGGAUUAGCUAGUUGGUGGGGUAAAGGCCUACCAAGGCGACGAUCCGUAACUGGUCUGAGAGUAUGAUCAGUCACACUGGAACUGAGACACGGUCCAGACUCCUACGGGAGGCAGCAGUGGGGAAUAUUGGACAAUGGGCGACAGCCUGAUCCAGCCAUGCCGCGUGUGUGAAGAAGGUAUUCGGAUUGUAACGCACUUUAAGUUGGGAGGAAGGGCAGUAAGUUAAUACCUUGAUGUUUUGACGUUACCAACAGAAUAAGCACCGGCUAACUUCGUG
rnacentral:rRNA from 1 species